rnacentral:rRNA from 1 species
UACGAAGGGUGCAAACGUUGCUCGGAAUCAUUGGGCGUAAAGAGCUCGUAGGCGGUUUGUCGCGUCUGCUGUGAAAUCCCGAGGCUCAACCUCGGGUCUGCAGUGGGUACGGGCAGACUGGAGUGCGGUAGGGGAGAAUGGAAUUCCUGGUGUAGCGGUGGAAUGCGCAGAUAUCAGGAGGAACACCGAUGGCGAAGGCAGUUCUCUGGGCCGUAACUGACGCUGAGGAACGAAAGCUAGGGUAGCGAACGGG